ensembl:lncRNA
AGUAGCUCUUUACAUAGAUUCCACAGCAAUAUCCAGGGGCAUCUCUGGACUGUCAAGAACUUAAGACUAGACUGAAUGCAUUUAGUGUAAUGCAUAUGAAUGUAAACACAUAAUUCUUUUGUAUGAAUUCUACAAGGUACUUCAAUUUAAGAAGCUCUAGUGAUGCUCAAAUGGGAAACAAGUUUGUGGAUUUCUUUCAGGUCAUGCUACUCCAGAGAGUAGAAGAGGAAACAGUGCAGUAGAAAGAGGUGGACUCCAUGGAUUCUGAACAGAGUGGGAGAGCUUCAUACAAAAUCUGGAGGGAAGAUGCACAGCUUUCCAGUCUGCAGUGCUUUCAACUGCAUAUCUAAUUCCCUGGAGUCCUUCUGCAGCAUCCAUACUGAAUGUACUGAAAGUAAGAUGCGACUUAAGAGCGCAUACCAAGUUUUAUUGCAGGCCCAAAGCUGAUUGUAAUCCAUAAUAAUCACUUUAAAUGUAAAUCAGUUUGUUUGGGUGAAUUUUUCAAUUGUUUAGUUCCCAGUAAAACAAACAAGCAAGCCCCAUUAUUUUUAUCAUCAUGACUAGCUCUUUCCUUAGCAUGUGUGCUUUCUUUUGUUUGAACUUGUCACAGAGCAAAAUCUUCCUUAAACGAUUCUUGCUAAAUGGACGUUGUCAUGUUCUUCUCAUUGCUUUCUUCUCAUCUUCACUUGUUCUCUGGUGUUGAAUGGGAUCUAAAUUUGAUUAAGUGAACCUAUCUACAAAUCCAAAGACUGUACUGUCUGCUGUGUUCAAGGGUUGAUCGGCUUGCUGGAUGUAAUCAUGUCUCUUAAAUUUCACGUAAGAGAAGACCACCAUCUGUUCUUUCACUGGCAGGUUUACCUCUUCCUAUAACAUGCAGAAACUAACAUUUGUGUCUCAUCUGAUGUGCAAUCAAAAGGGCUGGAAAGUGGUUGGACUGAGACAAUGCACUUUGUAGCCAUCAAGUACCACAACUAGCUCUCAGAAGAACACAGCGGGCACAGAGCUUUACUGACAUCAGCAAGUGUAGAACAGGGCCUUCGCUGCUGAUAAUGACAUGUGGAAAUACACUUAGUGAUAUUAUUUUUAACUCUUCCUGAAAACUACAGAAGUCUGGGUUUCCUUAUGGGAGCUGCAGGAAGUUGAACUCCCAACAGUUUUGUGCCGUGGAUGCAAAAUCUGUAACACUGAUGUAGAGGGCCUUCAAAUAUUUUGGUGCUGUUUAAACCCACAUUUUUCCUCUCUUCUGUUAUUUACUUCAGAUUUAAUAUACAGAAGUCAGGUUCCUUUUGUUCAUGGUUAUUUCAUGGAAAAAAUAUUAUCUUGCCUAAUGAAAGCGCUCAGACUCUAAACAGCACUGUUAGAAUCCUCCUAUGAUUUCUCCCAAAUAAAUGUUCUUCC